UGUUAAAAAAUUUAUCCAUUUGUACUGUUAGAAAGUGACAUGACUGACGGAAUAAUCAAACAAUGACACGCGGCGUGUCAUGUGUACUUUAUGCUGAAGUACAAAGAUUAGUUUUUAACAAUAAAAAUGGAUGAAAACUUUAGUA
rfam:Gossypium hirsutum cultivar TM-1 unplaced genomic scaffold scaffold189.1, whole genome shotgun sequence